rnacentral:rRNA from 1 species
UACGAAGGGGGGCUAGCGUUGUUCGGAAUCACUGGGCGUAAAGGGCGCGUAGGCGGCCAUAUAAGUCGGGGGGUGAAAGCCUGUGGCUCAACCACAGAAUUGCCUUCGAUACUGUAGAGCUUGAGACCGGAAGAGGUAAGUGGAACUGCGAGUGUAGAGGUGAAAUUCGUAGAUAUUCGCAAGAACACCAGUGGCGAAGGCGGCUUACUGGUCCGGUUCUGACGCUGAGGCGCGAAAGCGUGGGGAGCAAACAGG